GGUUAAAUCACUUUCAUGUGUUAAUGGUAAAUAAUUCUCCAGCUAAAUUGGUUAACGAUGAAGCCUUAGUCAUAGCAACAAUGAGCAUGGGUGAUUGGUUGAGAGUUUUAGCUGACCAUUUCAGCCUAUCACAACGCCAACUGCUUGUAUGAAUUGGUAUGCUGAUGGCCAGGUACCCUUAUUUAGUGUUAAACUGCUCAAAAAUUAUCAUAGUAUUCACUGUGUCUCUGUAAUCACACAUGGCAAAUGACACAACUUCAAGUACCUAGAAACACACCUUCAUGGGAGAUGACACCCAAAUAAUCUUGAGGCUAAAAAAAAGUGAAGAAUGCAUAACAGAUACAUUAAUUCCCUAUUUAGACCACAGGGUACCAAGUUAUACAUCGACAUCGAGUAUGUCUCUAGUUCUUGCAUGUCUCUCUCUCUCUCAUCUCUAAGGGGGGAAUGAGGGUUAAGUUGACAGGGAUAUUGCACCAAAACCAUGUCAAUUAGAUAAAGUGGUGUAAGUGCCUAUAAUGUCCCUUUAAGGUACCCUCUGCACUAUAACUAUUAAAGGGCCCUGAUUUAAGGGCUCUUGUGAGUCCCACAACCACCCAAAGGGCCUCCACCACAGGCACAAUUGUGGGCUUUAUGUUGACAGCCAUAUACUAAAG